GAUGAACGCUAGCGGGAGGCCUAACACAUGCAAGUCGAACGGGAUUGAGAGCUUGCUCUCAUGAGAGUGGCGCACGGGUGAGUAACGCGUAUGCAACCUGCCUUUAACAGGGGGAUAGCCCAUAGAAAUGUGGAUUAAUACCUCAUAGUUCUGAGAGAUCGCAUGAUUUUUCAGAUAAAGCUCCGGCGGUUAAAGAUGGGCAUGCGUGACAUUAGCUAGUUGGUGAGGUAACGGCUCACCAAGGCGACGAUGUCUAGGGGUUCUGAGAGGAUGAUACCCCACACUGGUACUGAGACACGGACCAGACUCCUACGGGAGGCAGCAGUGAGGAAUAUUGGUCAAUGGGCGCAAGCCUGAACCAGCCAUCCCGCGUGCAGGAUGACGGCCCUAUGGGUUGUAAACUGCUUUUAUACACCAAGAAAAAUCCGAACGUGUUCGGACCCGACGGUAGUGUAUGAAUAAGCAUCGGCUAACUCCGUGCCAGCCGCCGCAGUAAAAC
rnacentral:rRNA from 1 species